rnacentral:rRNA from 1 species
UGCAUAUCAAUAAGCGGAGGAAAAGAAACCAACCGGGAUUGCCUUAGUAACGGCGAGUGAAGCGGCAAAAGCUCAAAUUUGAAAUCUGGUACCUUCGGUGCCCGAGUUGUAAUUUGGAGAGGGCAACUUUGGGGCCGUUCCUUGUCUAUGUUCCUUGGAACAGGACGUCAUAGAGGGUGAGAAUCCCGUGUGGCGAGGAGUGCGGUUCUUUGUAAAGUGCCUUCGAAGAGUCGAGUUGUUUGGGAAUGCAGCUCUAAGUGGGUGGUAAAUUCCAUCUAAAGCUAAAUAUUGGCGAGAGACCGAUAGCGAACAAGUACAGUGAUGGAAAGAUGAAAAGAACUUUGAAAAGAGAGUGAAAAAGUACGUGAAAUUGUUGAAAGGGAAGGGCAUUUGAUCAGACAUGGUGUUUUGUGCCCUCUGCUCCUUGUGGGUAGGGGAAUCUCGCAUUUCACUGGGCCAGCAUCAGUUUUGGUGGCAGGAUAAAUCCAUAGGAAUGUAGCUUGCCUCGGUAAGUAUUAUAGCCUGUGGGAAUACUGCCAGCUGGGACUGAGGACUGCGACGUAAGUCAAGGAUGCUGGCAUAAUGGUUAUAUGCCGCCCGUCUUGAAACACGGACCAAAA